GCGCGCUUAGCUCAGUUGGUUAGAGCAUCUCGUUUACACCGAGAGGGUCAGGGGUUCGAAUCCCUUAGCGCGCACUA
rnacentral:tRNA from 1 species